GUUGUACUUUCCUUUGAGCCGGAUCUCCUCGGCUUUGAGUUUCUCCUCCUCCCGCAUCUCGUUGUCGGACUCCAGGGCAUCAAAGACGGCAGCCCCGACCAGCAGAGCUUGUGUGACUCUGAGCCCCCAGCAUGGACAAGCCUUAGAGGAUGUGAUUUUAUAUUGAAACCAACAGCAGCAACACUUGGAGAGCUACACAAAAGGGAAAAUCCGGGAUCUGCAGACACCCUGGCUGGCAAAGUGACAUCCUGCUGGGGUGACAUCCUUCUGCAUCCCUGGAGUCCACG